rnacentral:rRNA from 1 species
UGAGUAACGCGUAUGCAACCUACCUAUCAGAGGGGAAUAACCCGGCGAAAGUCGGACAAUACGCAUAAAACAGGGACACCGCAUGGUGAUAUUUGUUAAAGAAAUUCGCUGAUAGAUGGGCAUGCGUUCCAUUAGGUAGUUGGUGAGGUAACGGCUCACCAAGCCGACGAUGGAUAGGGGAACUGAGAGGUUGGUCCCCCACACUGGUACUGAGACACGGACCAGACUCCUACGGGAGGCAGCAGUGAGGAAUAUUGGUCAAUGGGCGAGAGCCUGAACCAGCCAAGUCGCGUGAAAAGGAAGAAGGAUCUAUGGUUCGUAAACUUCUUUUGCAGGGGAAUAAAGUGCAGGACGUGUCCUGUUUUGUAUGUACCCUGAGAAUAAGGAUCGGCUAACUCCGUGCCAGCCGCAGC